UACGUAGGGGGCUAGCGUUGUCCGGAAUCAUUGGGCGUAAAGCGCGCGUAGGCGGCCCGGUAAGUCCGCUGUAAAAGUCAAAGGCUCAACCUUUGAAUGUCAGUGGAUACUGCCGGGCUAGAGUCCGGAAGAGGCGAGUGGAACUCCUGGUGUAGCGGUGGAAUGCGCAGAUAUCAGGAAGAACACCGACGGCGAAGGCAGCUCGCUGGGACGGUACUGACGCUGAGGCGCGAAAGCAUGGGGAGCGAACGGG
rnacentral:rRNA from 1 species